rnacentral:rRNA from 1 species
CAAUAGCGUAUAUUUAAGUUGUUGCAGUUAAAAAGCUCGUAGUUGGAUUUCGGAUGGGACUUGCCGGUCUGUCGUUUCGAUGUGCACUGGCCAGUCCUAUCUUGUUGUCGGGGACUAGCUCCUGGGCUUCACUGUCCGGGACUAGGAGCUGACGAGGUUACUUUGAGUAAAUUAGAGUGUUCAAAGCAAGCCUACGCUCUGAAUACAUUAGCAUGGAAUAACACGAUAGGACUCUGGCUUAUCUUGUUGGUCUGUGAGACCAGAGUAAUGAUUAAGAGGGACAGUCGGGGGCAUUCGUAUUUCAUUGUCAGAGGUGAAAUUCUUGGAUUUAUGAAAGACGAACUUCUGCGAAAGCAUUUGUCAAGGAUGUUUUCAUUAA